rnacentral:rRNA from 1 species
AACGAGAGCGUAGAGAAAGCUUGCUUUUUCUACAAUCUAGUGGCAAACGGGUGAGUAACGCGUAAACAACCUGCCCUACGGAUGGGGUCAACAGCUGGAAACGGCUGCUAAUACCGAAUACGUUCCGAAAGUCGCAUGACUGUCGGAAGAAAGGAUGGCCUCUAUUUAUAAGCUAUCGCCGGAGGAGGGGUUUGCGUCUGAUUAGCUAGUUGGAGGGGUAACGGCCCACCAAGGCGACGAUCAGUAGCCGGUCUGAGAGGAUGAACGGCCACAUUGGAACUGAGACACGGUCCAGACUCCUACGGGAGGCAGCAGUGGGGAAUCUUCCGCAAUGGGCGAAAGCCUGACGGAGCAACGCCGCGUGAGUGAAGACGGCCUUCGGGUUGUAAAGCUCUGUUAUACGGGACGAAUAAUCUUGUGGUUAAUACCCAUAAGAAGUGACGGUACCGUAAGAGAAAGCCACGGCUAACUA